rnacentral:lncRNA from 1 species
UUAGGAUUUAGUGUUGUGGAUUCAUUUAUUUAUUGUUGGUAUCAAUUUUUGUGACUUGCAGAAUCAUUAGUUAUUUUGAUUAUCAAUUGACGGUUGGUGUUUCUCUUGAGGCAUUGUUGCUUUAUCCACCAAAAACAGCACCCUACAAAAUAGUGCAAGAGUGCUGAAUUGAUGUUUUUUGUUGAAUGUUUAAAAUUCACCCCUUACUCAGGACACACCCAGGAAAUAGCACAAGUGUGCUGAAUUAAUGUUUAUUGUGUUGAAUAUUUAAGAUUCACCCCUUUUAUUACACUUUCAUGGUAGUGGAUUGAAAUGUGCACACCAGACUCACCAGAUUAUCACUAGUGGUUGGAAAUGUGAACAUUUAUGAUGUGUACUUUUGUAAUGUGUUUGCACAUUAGGAAAUAAAACCAAGCCUCAUUGUCCAAUCAAGUUAUAACAUAGUAGAAAUAGGCAUAGCUUUAGAAGAAUCAGAAUUUUUCCUAAUGUAACUGUUUAAAUCAUGCAAGUGUUUUUUUCUUUACAAACUUUAAGAAGAUAUUAUAUCAAUGUCAAUGAGACAAAAACAUAAAAAAAAAAUUAAUCAGAAAUAUGAACUGAAAAGACUUGUAUUGUGUGUAUUAUGGUUACUCAUUGCAUUCCUUUUUAGGGGAUUCAUAGGGAGUUACUUAACAAAUAAUUUUAUAGCAAUUCCAUGUAAUCCUUAGAAUAAAACACUUUUUUCUAUAGCACAAGAAUUGAUACCUUCAUAGUUGACAAAUAAGUUGAAUAAAGAAUUAAGCAACGGAUAAUUUUUAGAAUUAUCCAAAAUAUGCAGCCAUUGGAACAUUUUGGAGGGAAACCCAUGUACAUUAGUACUCCCAGGGAUUUUCAUUUUUAUUCAUUCACUGUUAGAUAGGUAAAACAUCUAAUUUGAACGAAGAUUUCUUCAUGAUUUUUGUUUGAAUGAAAGCAUUUCUAUUUAACCUCACAUUUGAAUUGUAAAUCAUUUAUUGUCUUGUGCAUUUGAUUUGAAAAAAAUAUACACAGAACAGGUCCUAGAAUUUUAUAUGUGUUUGUGAAUGAAAUUGAUGCCAUUAUUUUCAUAGGAAUGUCUGUAUCUUUUAUUGUACAUUAAAAAGUUGUGUUAUCAUCUUGGAUCUGUGCCAACAUUUUCAUGAUAUUUUUGUGUGUAUAUAAUAGAUUGAAUAUACCUGAUCUUGUUGAUUUUAUCUCAAUUAGAAAAUGAGCAUUGGUUUGAUAUCAAUAUGAAGAAAUCUGAUGAAAUACUAAGAAAAUUAGGGUCAGGCACAAUGUACGGUAUUCAAAACAAAAAGUA